rnacentral:rRNA from 1 species
CUACGGGCCGCAGCAGUGAGGAAUAUUGCACAAUGGGGGAAACCCUGAUGCAGCAACGCCGCGUGGAGGAUGACGCAUUUCGGUGUGUAAACUCCUUUUAUAUGUCAAGAAAAUGACGGUAGCAUAUGAAUAAGCACCGGCUAACUCCGUGCCAGCAGCCGCGGUAAUACGGAGGGUGCAGGCGUUACUCGGAAUCACUGGGCGUAAAGGACGCGUAGGCUGGUUGGUAAGUCAGGUGUGAAAUCCUACAGCUUAACUGUAGAACUGCACUUGAAACUACCAACCUAGAGUAUGGGAGGGGGAGAUGGAAUUAGUGGUGUAGGGGUAAAAUCCGUAGAUAUCACUAGGAAUACCGAAAGCGAAGGCGAUCUCCUGGAACAUAACUGACGCUAAGGCGUGAAAGCGUGGGGAGCAAACAGGAUUAGAUACCCUCGUAGUC